GAUGAAGAACGUAGCGAAAUGCGAUAAGUAAUGUGAAUUGCAGAAUUCAGUGAAUCAUCGAAUCUUUGAACGCACAUUGCGCCCGCCAGUAUUCUGGCGGGCAUGCCUGUCUGAGCGUCAUUUCAACCCUCAUGCCCCUAGGGCGUGGUGGUGGGGAUCGGCCAAAGCCCGCGAGGGACGGCCGGCCCCUAAAUCUAGUGGCGGACCCGUCGUGGCCUCCUCUGCGAAGUAGUGAUAUUCCGCAUCGGAGAGCGACGAGCCCCUGCCGUUAAACCCCCAACUUUCCAAGGUUGACCUCAGAUCAGGUAGGAAUACCCGCUGAACUUAAGCAUAUCAAUAAGCGGAGGA
rnacentral:misc_RNA from 1 species